GGUGGUGAUUGACUCCGCUGUCCUGGCGUCGUGAGGGAGUUUGUUCCACCAUUGGGGGGCCAGAGCAGCGAACAGUUUUGACUGGGCUGAGCGAGAACUGUACUUCCUCAGUGGUAGGGAGGCGAGCAGGCCAGAGGUGGAUGAACGCAGUGCCCUUGUUUGGGUGUAGGGCCUGAUCAGAGCCUGGAGGUACUGAGGUGCCGUUCCCCUCACAGCUCCGUAGGCAAGCACCAUGGUCUUGUAGCGGAUGCGAGCUUCAACAGCAUUGGGAAGUGGUCAAGGUUGGUGGAGCAGUCUCUCCAUCUCUCCAUCUUGACUGGUUGUCUGACUAGAGGAUCUUCCUUUCCCUCCCUCCAUCUUGACUGGUUGUCUGACUAGAGGAGCUUCCUUUCCCUCCCUCCAUCUUGACUGGGUGCCUGACUAGAGGAGCUCUCUGUCUCUCUCCCUCCAUCUUGACUGGGUGUGAGACUAGAGGAGUAAAGUACAAUCAUUCUGUCACCAAACCGAGAUGAGACGUUUGUUAGGAUCUGUGUAGUAGCAGGUUAUUCUCAUGCUGUUCCCUGUGAGGUCAAGCCACCCAGUCGAUUGUGUUAGGGCGAACAAACGCACACGCCCAAACACAGGGGCUCCCGAGUGGCGCAGCGGUCUAAGGGACUGCAUCUCAGUGCAAGAGGCGUCACUAUAGUACCUGUAUCAAAUCCAGGCUGUAUCACAGCUGGCUGUGAUUGGGAGUCCAUAGGGCGGCACACAAUUGGCCCAGCAUCGUCCGGGUUAGGCCGGAGUAGGCAGUCAUUGUAAAUAAGAAUUUGUUCUUAUUGACUUUAACUGACUUGCCCAGUUAAAUCAAUAAAGUCAACCCUCUGGUAUUUAUUUUUUAUCUUGCCGUAGUGUAAAUCUCCUCACCUGUACUGUUGGACCACUGUCCUCCUCACAUUCUUGCUCCAUGAGUCAGGGCUGCCAAUCAUUAUAGGCUCUCUACCAGGUACUCUCUGGUGGCUAUGGUUAGCCACCUGUGGUUACCUUAGCCUUAACCACUGCUAUCUGCUCUUGCCGUGAGCAACUGCUCCACCAACCUUGACCACUUCCCAAUGCUGUUCAAAGCCUAAUCUAAGGCUGUGUUUACACAGGCAGUCCAAUUCUGAUCUUUUGCCACUAUUUGGUCUUUUGACCGAUCAGAUCCUUUGCCCAUAAUUGGGCAGAAGAUCAGAGUUGGGCUGCCUGUGUAAACGCAGCCUAAGUGAUGUGCUGUAUUCAGACAUUCUCAGAUUUAUACAUUUAGAAAUGGUGUAAACACACACCACAGCUGGAAUGCAUGCUCUCUUGGGAAUUUUAGAUAGCUUUAGUUUGUUUACCUUUUAGACGACAUGUCCUGCCAAGUUCAGUCCGAAAGCUGUUGAGGUCAGAGGUCAGCGUUGCGUACAAUGUCCGCAUCGGCUUUCUAGUGAUGAAUUCUGGGUCCUGACUCCUAAACCUGAAAUAAGGUUAAUUAUCAGGUAUCCUAUUGAAAUAUUGAGUCCCAUGGUUUAGAGGGUUUACAGCAGAAGUUAAUGGUUAUCUGUAAGGGGAAGGUAUAUGGUGGAGGCAAUUAAGCUUGGAAUGUACUGAGUGUAGGGGAAACAAUCACAUUGAUAAAGGGAGUCAUGGAUUAGUGAUGAAGGGGGUGGAGGUCAGGUCACGUUAAGGGAGAAGGAACAGUUUAUUGCCCGUCUCGUUUCCUGCCUAGCAGGUUUAGCGAGAAGGAGGAGACUCCACCCAAAGUGGGCUACAUAUACCACCACCGUUGUAAAUAUGUUUUUGUCGGUUCAGAUCCUUUUUGGGAAGAAUAAACUUGGUUUAAGCUUUCAUAGUGUCUGAAUUCUUACUGUGAUAAGUAGAACCUAGAGUCUCGCCUGGAUGUUGAGCAUUGAGAAAUGGACCUACGUUAUAUUUGAUAACGAUAUACAACUUGCCUGUUUGGCUUCCAUGUGUUUAUCACUUAAAGACCACACUUGUUAAAUGUAAAUGCAGUUUCUGGCUUCUUAAAAACGGUCUCCUCACUCAUUUAGUUGCUGGCUCUCUGUUAGGGAACUUCUUUAUUUAUUAUAUUUUUUUUCUCUUGUAUUUUUCCCUGAGCUAAUUAGUGUGUGAUGACUGGGGGAGAUUUCAAGGAACAGAUGGCUAGCUGGUCGAGCUAAACUCUCAGGCCAUGCGGAGAAACUGAACUCACUCAACCCAGGAUUCCAGAACAUCUAGAAGCCAGCCGGCGAUUUCUGUUUUCCAAGAAUCUCACCAUGUGACCACUAGCGUCUUCCUCAGAUGCUGUGCCACCACCAGUCAACACGAUGGGCCACUGCACCUCCUGGCAGAGAAUCUCACCAUGUGACCACUAGCGUCUUCCUCAGAUGCUGUGCCACCACCAGUCAACACGAUGGGCCACUGCACCUCCUGGCAGAGAAUCUCACCAUGUGACCACUAGCGUCUUCCUCAGAUGCUGUGCCACCACCAGUCAACACGAUGGGCCACUGCACCUCCUGGCAGAGAAUCUCACCAUGUGACCACUAGCGUCUUCCUCAGAUGCUGUGCCACCACCAGUCAACACGAUGGGCCACUGCACCUCCUGGCAGAGAAUCUCACCAUGUGACCACUAGCGUCUUCCUCAGAUGCUGUGCCACCACCAGUCAACACGAUGGGCCACUGCACCUCCUGGCAGAGAAUCUCACCAUGUGACCACUAGCGUCUUCCUCAGAUGCUGUGCCACCACCAGUCAACACGAUGGGCCACUGCACCUCCUGGCAGAGAAUCUCACCAUGUGACCACUAGCGUCUUCCUCAGAUGCUGUGCCACCACCAGUCAACACGAUGGGCCACUGCACCUCCUGGCAGAGAAUCUCACCAUGUGACCACUAGCGUCUUCCUCAGAUGCUGUGCCACCACCAGUCAACACGAUGGGCCACUGCACCUCCUGGCAGAGAAUCUCACCAUGUGACCACUAGCGUCUUCCUCAGAUGCUGUGCCACCACCAGUCAACACGAUGGGCCACUGCACCUCCUGGCAGAGAAUCUCACCAUGUGACCACUAGCGUCUUCCUCAGAUGCUGUGCCACCACCAGUCAACACGAUGGGCCACUGCACCUCCUGGCAGAGAAUCUCACCAUGUGACCACUAGCGUCUUCCUCAGAUGCUGUGCCACCACCAGUCAACACGAUGGGCCACUGCACCUCCUGGCAGAGAAUCUCACCAUGUGACCACUAGCGUCUUCCUCAGAUGCUGUGCCACCACCAGUCAACACGAUGGGCCACUGCACCUCCUGGCAGAGAAUCUCACCAUGUGACCACUAGCGUCUUCCUCAGAUGCUGUGCCACCACCAGUCAACACGAUGGGCCACUGCACCUCCUGGCAGAGAAUCUCACCAUGUGACCACUAGCGUCUUCCUCAUAUGCUGUGCCACCACCAGUCAACACGAUGGGCCACUGCACCUCCUGGCAGAGAAUCUCACCAUGUGACCACUAGCGUCUUCCUCAGAUGCUGUGCCACCACCAGUCAACACGAUGGGCCACUGCACCUCCUGGCAGAGAAUCUCACCAUGUGACCACUAGCGUCUUCCUCAGAUGCUGUGCCACCACCAGUCAACACGAUGGGCCACUGCACCUCCUGGCAGAGAAUCUCACCAUGUGACCACUAGCGUCUUCCUCAGAUGCUGUGCCACCACCAGUCAACACGAUGGGCCACUGCACCUCCUGGCAGAGAAUCUCACCAUGUGACCACUAGCGUCUUCCUCAGAUGCUGUGCCACCACCAGUCAACACGAUGGGCCACUGCACCUCCUGGCAGAGAAUCUCACCAUGUGACCACUAGCGUCUUCCUCAGAUGCUGUGCCACCACCAGUCAACACGAUGGGCCACUGCACCUCCUGGCAGAGAAUCUCACCAUGUGACCACUAGCGUCUUCCUCAGAUGCUGUGCCACCACCAGUCAACACGAUGGGCCACUGCACCUCCUGGCAGAGAAUCUCACCAUGUGACCACUAGCGUCUUCCUCAGAUGCUGUGCCACCACCAGUCAACACGAUGGGCCACUGCACCUGCUGCGUCUCUCACCAUCCUACUGGACUGAUCGAUCUAGUCCUGAGAGGAGAAAAAAAACAAGAGGUCCUUUUGAGGGCAGUGCUAUGUUCGCUUUAGCCCCACCGUCUCCCAUUUCCUGAGAAUGAGGGUUCUAUCCUGUAUGCAUAUUCUCUGUGUGGUCAGAGAUGAGCCUGUAUGCUAGCUACGACUAUGCAUUUUAAAAGUACGGUGCCAACAAUUUAACAAAAUGAAUAUAGGGGAAACACUGGUAUCAUAUGACUCACUGUAACACUGUUUGGACUUUUCAGAUUAUGGAGGGAAAGUUUGUCAUUAGACUUUAGUUUUUGCAAUUAUGCAGAUCACAUUCGUAAGCAAUUUGAGAUAAUUGACGUUGUGAUGCACACUGCUGUUGAGAUGAACCACCUCCGGUUAAAGAUGACUCAGUUCUACGACGUCAAUGGGAGAAAGAGAGCGGGAGUGUGUACACACACGUUAAUGCACUGCCUAUUGGGAUUCAUAUCACUUUUGAUUAGCUUGUUCUGGCAUGUCCUAUAUGCAAAUGUGCCUAUGUAGGUGACACACUCAGUCAAAUGAAAGGGAAACAGUUUGAAUGUUGAAACUCGUUCACAACGACAAGUUGAGACGAAUUAAUCAAAGGAUAUAGUGUGCAUAUGAUCCCUGCGUGAAGGUCUCUCACAUUUGUCCUAAUGAUAACAAUAACCCAUUACAAUCCCAGAUGAGUGUGUGUGUGUUCCUCUACCCCUAGCCAACAUCGCUUUGUGGCUCUGCUUUAGCAAUGAGUCACCCACUUCUUCGACAGACAUAUAGCAGACUGAGACGUAUUGCCUUCUACUGCAUUGUCUUAUCACCGUGUUUGGGGUUUGUUUCCGGGACGUUCCAAUCUAGACGCUCAUUACUACAAAUCUAGUUAUCUCUUCGAGGAAGCAAAAUAUGAUUUUGUGUCUGAAGAGUCUGUAUUAAAUACGUAUGUGGGUAAUCGAGAUGGCCAUUUUUCCUUUGACUGUUGGAGUACUCGCAUUACUUAUUUUCAGAGGACUCCAAUGGGGAAAAUGUAACAUUUUAAAAUAAGGGCCACACUAGAAAAACAUUUGCACAUUUAUCUAAUACUGAACAAAACUAUUAAGGCAACAUGAAACAAUUUCAAUGAUUUUACUGAGUUAGUUCAUAUAAGUAAGUCAGUCAAUUAAAUUCGAGGCCCUAAUCUAUGGAUUAGGAUUGAGGCGCAGCUAUGGGUGGGCCUGGGAGGGCAUAGGCCAACCCACGUGGGAGCCAGACCCACCCACUGGGUAGCCAGGCCCAGCCAAUCAGAAUGAGUUUUUUUUCCCCACAAAAGUGCUUUAUUACAGACCGUAAUUCUCUUUCGUUUCAUCCGCUGUCCGGGUUGGCUGGUCUCCGAGGUCAAACCUACCUGUAUUGCUGUUUCAUAGACGAGGUGAUUUAUUUUUAUUGGUAUAAUCACAAUGAAUUCUAGUCUCAGCAUCAUUGCCAGAGCGUCACAGGCUGACUGCAUCUUCUCUCUACCCCAGAUGGCUGGAUUACACUGUUUUAAUUCCUGCUCCAGUGUACUAAUCACAUUCAUAAAUCUGUCAAAAGCCCCCAGGGAAGUGGUUUGGACUAAUGACAGACACGGGCAGAUUGGGAUGAGGGUUUGUUUGGCUGCAUUUACACAGGCAGCCCAAUUCUGAUAUUUUGCCAAUAAUCAGGUGAAAUACCAUAACUGGGCUUCCUGUGUAAAGACAGUCUUUGUAUGUUACGGGAGUGCAGGCCUCCCGGUUGGCGCAGUGGUCUAGGGCACUGCAUCGCAGUGCUAGCUGUGCCACCAGAGACUCUGGGUUCGUGCCCAGGCUCUGUCGCAGCCGUCCGCUCCGUGGGGCGAUGCACAAUUGGCCUAGUGUCGCCCGGGUUAGGGAGGGUUUGGCCGGUAGGGAUAUCCUUGUCUCAUCACGCACUAGCGACUCCUGUGGUGGGCCGGGCGCAGUGCACGCUAACCAGGUCGCACGGUGUUUCCUCCAACAGCUGGCUUCCGGGUUGGAUGUGCGUUGUGUCAAGAAGCCGUGCGGCUUGGUUGUGUUGUGUUUCGGAGGAUGCAUGGCUCUCGACCGUCGCCUCUCCCGAGUCCGUACGGGAGUUGCAGCGAUGAGACAAGACUGUAGACACUACCAAUUGGGGAGAAAAAGGGGUAUAACAUUUUUUUUUUUAAAGAGAAAGUUAUAGACGCACAAAUAUAAUUUAUUUGUAUUUAACGAGGCAAGUCGGUUAAGAACAAAUUAUUAUUUUACAAUGACGGCCUCCUAACCCGGAUGCUGGGCCAAAACUGCGGUGGACUACAUACAAGUAAUGUCAUUUCUAAACGGUUCACUCAAUAUGGAUGAAAAUACUCUCAAAUUAAAACGGUCAGGCUACAAUUUAACCUCCUAGUUGGUCAUUGUAUCAUUUCAAAUCCCAUGUGCUGGAGUACAGAGCCAAAACAACCAAACGUGUUACUGUAUGUUAGUGUUACACUAGCCUGGGGAAGUUCCAUGGCGGAAAUCGGCUAAAGACUGGUCAGAACCCGGUGUAAAUCAGUGGCGCGGAGCUUCAAAGGUGCUCACCAGAUUAGUGCCGUAGGAGCAACAGUGAGGACUAAACAUGCCAACAAAACAACCGCUGGUGACACAACCAUUUUAGAAUGUUAGCAGCACGCGGGUUCACAGCAUUUAUCUGUUUAGAGAUGAGCUGAACCGCAGCAAGAGGACAUAGUCUCCCAUUCUGGCCAUAUCAAUAUUACGUGUUUUCGUUGAACCACAGAGCUUAGGCUAUCGGUCUACCACCACUUCAUUGGCAAGUUUUUCAUGUUGCUGACAUGCAGUACUGAUAACUGUAGGCUAUUAUACCACUUUUCUUGACAUUUUGUUUUAAUUAUUGUGAUCGGCUCAUGUUUUACCAGUACGGCGUACCCCCCCCCCCCCUCCACUACUUAUUUUUCCGGAUCGCCUUACCAGACCGCACCGCCUUACUUUCACCUCUGCAUUAUACUCCAAUUAAACAGAAGAUUAUGUUUCUAUUAUCUCUGUCCUCAAAGUUGAACCCUCGAGGGACUGGAGAAUCUUUUCCUAAUGUCCUCUCUCAAAAUGGCCAGUCCUAUCCAGUAGCCAACACUCUCAUUUUACUGACAGCUGGAGCUGCAAUUUCCCCCUCCUCCAUGGCAGUUAUCUACAAAUGCAUUUGCAGACCGUGUUUUUAAUUUACAAUAAUUACAUCAAGAUAGCACAACCAUGUGGUUGAAUGGAGACAAGGAAAAAAGAUCUUUGGCAUCAGAGCGAUUUUAGAACGUGUUGUGACAUUUGACUUUACCAGCGUAAUCCAAUUUCAAAAUAAAUCGCAGGCUGUCGGCCACACUUGAAAACUAGCACUUCAAAGUAGCAUAGUCAACAACAACCCUUCUACGGGCGUGGGGGAGUGUUCUUGAAAUGUGACAUCCAAUCAAAAUCACCGAACAAUUCAAACUGUUUUUGCAAAACAAAAUUCUCUCAACAAUGUUAUUUUGAAGGCAUGGCAACGCAAGACUAGUAUUACUCCCUUGUUCUUUCUGGAAAAGCUAAAUCCGUGCUGAUCACUUUCUCCACUCUAAUCACACAGACGGACUCUGAUUAGUGGACUGCUCUCUUCUUAGUCUGGCAUCAGACCAUGUCUCCCACUCAUUCCUUCUUGUGGGUUUGGGUGGGGGACUCCUGCUGCACUGAGACAGCAGUUAUUUUUCACCCCCGCUGACCUCUGAUCAAAAUGAAAGGCUUUCAUUACAGAAACACAAGUGUAGAUUAGAUAAGUAUGUGUCGGAGCUUGCAUGGGCUCUUUUUUUUAAAAAGCUCAUCUAAAAUAUAUUUUAUGAAUAUUAAAUGCAAGUGUAACGGUCUUUAUGUACAACAGAAGAACCAAGAAGUGAAGAGCGUCACCACUCUCUUUAUGGGCUUUUACAUAGAUCUGUAAUAUUAUGAAAAGACAGGACAGGAACACAUCAGUCUCCAACGCACCAUCUGACGAGUUGUUCUAUAGAGGAGCAUGAAGAAAGGUAAAACACAUCCUGUCUCACAUAUAAAAUGUUGUUAGUCACAUGCGCCGAAUACAAUAGGCGUAGAACUUACAGUGAAAUUCUUACUUAUAAAAGUAACAAGUAAUUUAAAGAGCAGCAGCAAAAUAACAAUAGUGAGACUAUAUACAGGGGGUACCGGUAGAGAGUCUAUGUGCGGUGGCACCAGUUAGUUAAUAUGUACAAGUAGGUAGUUAUUAAAGUGACUAUGCAUAGAUAAGAGAGUAGCAGCGGUGUAAAAAAAAAAGGGGGGGGGGGCAAUGCAAAUAGUCUGGGUAGCUAUUUGAUUAGUUGUUCAGGAGUCUUACGGCUUGGGGGUAGAAGCUGUUUAGAAGCUUAUUGGACCUAGACUUGGCACUCUGGUACCGCUUGCCAUGAGGUAGCAGAGAGAACAGUCUAUGACUAGGGAGGCUGGAGUCUUUGAUAAUUUUUAGGGCCUUCCUCUGACACCGCCUGGUAUAGAGGUCCUGGAUGGCAGGAAGCUUGGCCCCGGUGAUGUACUGGGCCAUAUAGACUACCCUCUGUAAUGCCUUGCGGUCAGAGGCCGAGUAGUUGCCAUACCAGGUAGUGAUGCAACCUGUCAGGAUGCUCUCGAUGGUGCAGCUGUAAAACCUUUUGAGGAUCUGAGGACCCAUGCCAAAUCUUUUCAGUCUCCUGAGGGGGAAUAGGUUUGUCGUGCCCUCUUCACAACUAUCUUGGUGUGCUUGGACCAUGUUAGUUUGUUGGUGAUGUGGACACCAAGGAACUUGAAGCUCUCAACCUGCUCCACUGCAGCCCCGUCCAUGAGAAUGGGGGCGUGCUCGGUCCUCUUUUUCCUGUAGUCCACAAUCAUUUGUCCUUUGUCUCUAAUACAUUGCCAGCUGCUUUCAGUGUUGACAGUAUUAAGAUACUUUGACACUCUGUAAAACUAUAUCAAUAACAAUGAUAAACUCUGAAAGUUGCAUGUUUCAAUAGUCUCACACUCAUAACAAUACCUAUAGCAUUAACCUUGGGAUGCUUUGUUUAUUUAACAUAAUGGAUUUCUAAUCUGCGACAUACUUUUUCUGUUUUCUCGGACUGCGGAGAACGGGUGCUACGGGUAGUACCAGAGUGUUAGGUGACGUAAGCACCCAGAUGAAAUCAAAUGCAUUUAAUGAAAUAAAAAUCGAAGAUGUUGAUAUCAUCCAGCUACUGUAGCUGCCUACUUAACAUCAACAGGCAGUACUAGUAGUGCAACAAUUGAAAAUAGAAACCAAAAGUAAAGAUCAUAGAGCUCUGACUCUCCCCUUCUGUCUAAACUUGGAAUAUUCCUUUUUGUAGGUUUGGGUCACUGGCCCUUAACCUGGUUGUUCUGCGUAGUGCACUAUUUUAAUAAUUUGUUAAAUUUGAUGGAAUGACCAUUUUAACUCUCCUACACAAGCGUCACAGAGCUUGAAUUUUUAAAAAAUGUCACGAGUUUGAGUCACUUAGUCUUUCGUACCGUGUAUCAAAACACGACCCGUUAGACCCUAUGUCCAGUUGGAGGUGUAAAUAAUUCCCACUUCCCCAGUCCAAUGUCUUGUUAAAACUGGACCACUUACAGUAGCUGAGAAAGAAGCUUUUAUGUAUGGGGAAAUUUCCUCCUGCACAACACAAGCCCAGCUCUGUGCCGCGACCAGCAAUGUGAGCAGCCAACACGUUGACUCAUAGAACCAACCCUCAGCUCUCUGGUAUUAGUGAGUCACCCUUUAAACAUACCCCCAGAGAGGGGGAGAGAGGUUGAACGUCGCUCGUGCUUCCCAAGCCGAGAGCACUCCGGAGUGGGGGAGACGGUUUGGAGAUAACAUGUCUGCCCUGGUUCUCUCCUGCAAACAUGGAGCUGCCUGCCAAGGUCUACCGAUGUUAAUCACAGCUGUGUUUGUGUAGCACGCUCACACUUUCUUGUGAGUUUCGCUUCAGUUGGACACACCCACCUCAUUCUUUCUCCCGCCUUUUCCUUUUCUCUCGUUCCUGUGUGAUCUCUCUUGUUCUCUCGCUCUCUCAAUUCAAUAGACUCUAUUGGCAUGGCAAGUUAAAUUACUUAAAUGUUCAAAGUACACAACAAUAGUCGGACAGUAGAGGUAAUGAUAUGACAACAAUGGUAAAUGAGAAUAAUAAUACAUUAAAGCUAUAUUAGUAGGCUAGUCUCAACAUGACUGAAACCUAGUCCCCUCUGGGUUUCUCUGGCUCUCCCUAAGAAAACAGGGUGGAUUUAAUCGCACGAGACCUCUCAGCUUCUCUGUAAAUGAAGUGUUCUCUGAGACUGCUUAGGUUAAGUUGUUCAGAAGGCAGGCUAAUGUUCUUUUCUACCCAGUAAUGUUAAACUCUCCUGUAAAAAAAACUAAAAACAACAUGGAAUAUUUACCCUGCAGAGACCCUACUAAAAUAAAACAAAUACCAGGGAAUUGUGCAUGUAUAUGACAGAUCCCUGAAAUUCAUUGGGGUAGGAUUUGCAAUGUAAAGACUGUAUUCUAAUGUAGUUACAACUUUCUGGGAAAUGAUGGGGGGUUAGAAUGGCUCUGGUCUACAGUCAAUGUUGUGGGCAAGCUCUGAAUCCACAAAUCCCAUAUAGCUGUAAUUCUGGGAAUUCACGACUUGCUACAGGUCAUGACAGAAUGUGGGGAUCUAGGCAUGCGUUUUCCAGAGAUAAGGGAUUACAUCGGGACUGUUUUGAUCCCAGACACUAUCCCCUGUUCACAUGCCAACACAUCUAUAUGUAGGACGGUUUAAAGUAGAAAAACAUUAAAUCCUGGGUGAAGAGUACAUGUUUCCACAGUUUUUAAAUUAAAAAGCAGAAUCCUCCCGAAUCCGGAUCUAAAAGAUUUAGUCAUUGGAUGUGUGAAACUUGAGAGGUUGACUUUGAACCUGACCUCCAGUGAGCUUUAGGUCUCAAGCAUCAGGCUCAACUUCCUUACAAUAGCAUUGUGUAGGACAGAUCUCAUCAGCCAUCAUGCUCAGAACACCAGGAUAAACAGAAUGAGACAACAUCUGUAUAGAUCACAUCAGUUUAGUUGGGGAACAUGAUUUUAUGAUUACUGGCGCUCGGAUAGUAACAUAAUCUGAUGGGGGCAAUGCAUCACACAACACCAUCCUGAUUACUUUGAUUUGGCUGGAGAUCAGUGCAGCUCAGACAGUUGACAUUUUAAACUCCACCAGGCCCAAAUUCCACCAUAAUGAAUCUGUCCCCAGGGCUUUACUACAGCCUCGUCAAUCAGUGCGUCUCUUCGUUAACAGUCAUCACACAAUGAGCCCAACGUGUUCUAGAUGUUAGCGAGAGAACAAUCCCUUCAUCUCUAUUUUAAUCAAAAUGGUUAUUUUUGUCUUUUCUUGGCUGUUCAUUGGUCUUUCGUCAUUCCUGGAAUGGCAAAGCUUUGUAUUUUUAGAUUAUCAACAGAGUUGGUGGAUUAAAAACAUUCCACUUAGAAGAACAGCCAGCAGCAAUUACUAAGAGUAAUUAAUGAACUGGUUCCUGGGCUGCUUUAGUGUUGUGUUGGUUCCUGGGCUGCUUUAGUGUUGUGUUGGUCCCUGGGCUGCUUUAGUGUUGAGUUAGUGUUGGCUCGCUCUCCUACAGCUGGAAUAUGUCCAGUCACAGCCUCAAACCUAAAUGAUUUUUCAAUUCUGGUCAUCAAAUGAAUGCAGCCUCACAUGUGGGAGCUGAGUGCGAAACCUCUGUUCAGUGUUAGUCUUGUCCAUACACACACACACACACACACACAACUGGCACAUGUUGUAAUGGGGUACAGGAUUGUACACAGCAUGUGGUUAUUUCCCCAGUCCCUGUCUCUUUUUAAGAGUCUGUUGGUAUGUAUCUAUAUGGAAGUGUAGAAAUGUGAGCAGGCCUGCCACUGUGAUGUCACAGACUUGUCCUCCUCCUCUAGGCUUUGGAUGUUAACCUUUAUCCUUAAAAGUCUGGAUGACAGUACUGUGUGUGUGUGUGUGUGUGUGUGUGUGUGUCAGGAAUAAAAUGCAGUGCCACACCCAGACAUUUUUGCAGAGUAUUUAGGUCCAUUCCAUCUGUAGGCUAAAUCUUGUUUUGACCUGCAGAAAUGGAGACUGGGAGAGAAACAGAGGGAUGUUAGUCUACUAUCGAUGUUUGGGACAACAUCUGCCAGGCUACUGUAAAAACAACUUGCUAUGGAACACUUGAUACAUAGUUCUUAAGCUCUACUGUAAAUACAACAUGUGAUGGAACAUCUCAUACAUAGUUCUUAAGCUCUACUGUAAAAACAACAUGCUAUGGAACACUUGAUACAUAGUUUAAGCUCUACUGUAGAAACAACAUGCUAUGGAACAUUUGAUACAUAGUUUAAGCUCUACUGUAGAAACAACAUGCUAUGGAACAUUUGAUACAUAGUUCUUAAGCUCUACUGUAAAAACAUGUGAUGAAACAUCUCAUAAAUAGUUCUUAAGCUCUACUCUAUGACUUCUAGUAAUGUACCUGUGAUGAAACUGUCACCCUCUACCUUCAUUUUUUCGUCUCAUUCAGUGUCCAUGAUGUUGUUAAAGAGCAUAGCGUCUGAACCCUCUGCCCCCCCCUCCCUACAGGAGUUCACCUAAAAGCCAGCCUGCUCUCAGCGAGUGAAGGAUUAGGGAGAGAAGUAGAGGGAGGGAUGCUGAAGCUAACAUGAAAUGACAACUUUUUGUUUCGGGGUUUCCAUGGAGACAGUUGUGUGUACCACCGUCACCUGGGGCGAUGUCAUCGGCGCUGCCCCUGCCACCUCGCAGCACACUGCCCCCACCACCACACACAAAGUUGAGUUGCAUUUACCCUAAUGAAAACCGAGAUGACAAAUUUCCCCUUACAUACAUUUAGCUAACACAGUUCAUUGUGAAUGGAUAUAAGCCUAGAGCAACGCAUAAGGUCAUUGUAUAUCUACAAUACACAUCAACACUUGAGAUGACCUCAGCAUGUAAGAUAUUUUGGGUUUCUACCUUCUAAUGUCUGAAGUAAAAGUAAUGUAACAUACUGUAUUGUGAUUCCUGAAAAUGUGUAAUUUGCUUUGUAGGCCUACUGGGCAUUUCUGUUUGUCUAAAUAUCCUCACUUGUGAUGUUC